GAAAUCCAUUUUUGAGUUCAGCCCAGAAUGAAGAAUGAGGCCAACUGAGAGAACACAAAAAUGGAUUUCAUGGAGGAUGGUUGCCAUCUCUGAUUGGCCAAUGAUUUCUCCGUCCGAUGAAAACUAACAACCCUCCUUAUCAAAAAUUCCAAAAAAAGAAAAAAAAAAUUAAUACUUCCUUUGUUCCAUUUUUACUAGGUUUUGCAAAAUGUCCACAAAUUGCUGUAGAAAAGAUGGAAAGAGGCAGUGAUGACAUUGCUGUGUGAUGAUUCUGGGCUGAAAUUUGGGGCAUGGAGAAAACCCGACUCGUAUCUUGGCGGGGCAAAACCAGAAUCAUGCAAAACCGGUUCAUUUUUUUUUUUGCAGCCAUGGCGAUUGUUGUCUUCUUCUCCUCUUGCCCCCAUUUUACACAGAUCUGAGCCUCAUUUUCAAAUUCGGAUGGAAACCCAGUUCAUU
rnacentral:misc_RNA from 1 species